UACGUAGGGUGCAAGCGUUAAUCGGAAUUACUGGGCGUAAAGCGUGCGCAGGCGGUUGUGCAAGACCGAUGUGAAAUCCCCGGGCUUAACCUGGGAAUGGCAUUGGUGACUGCACGGCUAGAGUGUGUCAGAGGGGGGGUAGAAUUCCACGUGUAGCAGUGAAAUUCGUAGAUAUCGGGAGGAACACCAGUGGCGAAGGCGGAGAUCUGGGGGAGAUAUUGACGCUGAGGUGCGAAAGCGUGGGGAGCAAACAGG
rnacentral:rRNA from 1 species